AAGCGGCCGCAGAGCGGCCCAGAGUUCGCAGGUCUGGGGCUCUCUUCCCAGAGAGCUCGUAGGGGAGGACAGUCAAGGGACUCAAGCGUCUCUCUUGACUCCCCUUCUCUCGCUGUGCAGUGGCGGCGCCGAGGGGUCGACGCUCAGGGCUAAUCUCUAUGAGUCACCCUCGAGGCCCCGGGUAAUAUUGGGUGGAUCACAAGAACUAAUCUUUCAUGAUUUGGAAACCGGAAGGAAAGAAGCACUUUUGUAGCUGACUUACCUCAAUGACAUGACCAGUGUCUGAGCCUACAACUGCGCUAUCUUCCCUGGAUUUUUCUUCACCUUUUCCUUACUCAUGAGCCAGGACAUGAACCUGGAGCCUGCCCGGAUGCGAAAGGAGCUGUAACACUGAAUCCCUCUCACCCUAUGCCAGUGCUGGAUGGCUGUCCCAUGUGAUGGGAAGUGGUGGUGGGGCCAGGCCAGCCCAGGAGCCAUCAUGGGCCAGAGUGGGGCAGCAGGACCAAACAAGCUAUAACACAAAUAAGCUGAAACAUGUUCCUGGCUGGCCUGCCAAGCUGCCAGCAGUGACAUGUUCCCAUUCGCCAGACUACAAGACAAGAGAGCUGUGACCCUUCUGGGGACCCAGACCUCGGGACUCCCUGAGUCAGAGCUGUGACAUGCUGUAACACCCCCUUGGGGCUCUGUGGUUGCUGGUGUCUCUGAGUUUUUGGGCACCACUGCAUUCCCCCUGUCCAGAUGCUGCUGCCUGGCCCAGCUACAGCCCCUCACAAAACUCACGCCUGUGCUGGUGCCUGGAGCUGCCCACCCCACUGCAGCAGCUGGCACACCUGGCUGUGCAUCAUGGCUGGACCCUACACUUGCUCACUCACACACCCCUUGCCAUUCUGUGCCUGGCUUGUCCACAGUGGGCAUGGGAUCUGGGCCAGUAGCGCAAGCUCAGUACAGCCUGCCAGGCCGAGUGGGUGGAGCCAGCUCAGCAGUCAAAAGUGAAACUCAGGCAGAGGCACCACUGGCCACAGAGGUUACCGAAAGAAUCGUGUGUCACUACUGUUAGCGGUGCCUAAUUUAUACAGGUCUGCAGCAACUUCAGUUCUUGCCUUCUAAGAAGAGAGAAUUCAACUGAGGUGGGUCAUAAGGCAGAGUCAGAGACUGAGGCAAGUUUUAAGCAGGAAUGAAAGUUUAUUAAAAAGUUUUAAGUAGGAAUGAGAGGAAGUAAAGUACACUUGGAAGAGGGCCAAGCAGGUGAUGUGAGAGAGUCAAGUGCCCAGUUUGACCUUUGACUUACAGUUUUGUAUGUUCCAGCAUCUUCUGUCCCUUCUCACCUGAUUCUUCCUUUGAAGUGGGCUGUCUGCAUGCACAGUGGCCUGCUAGCACAUGGGAGGGACCACAGGCACAGUGAGUUUACUGGAGUUGUAUGCAUGCUCAGGUGAGGCAUUCUUCCCUUACCAGUUGAGUGUUCCUAGAGGAAGGUCAUAUACCAGUUAAACUCUGCCAUUUUGGCUCUUAACGCACAUGCUUGAGACCACUCACCCAAUUCCUGAGAUCUUAUCGGAAAGCUGCUGAUCACCAGUUUCAGUUUUUUCCAUCUAUUGGGAGACUGCCUUUCUCUGGUGCCGGCUGCGACCCAUUAGUAUUUUGGAGAGACAGUUAACUACCUGACUAUCACCUGAUGGUUGCCUAAUGUUAGUAGGGGGGCAUCUCUCCUACCCUGCUCAUGUCUGCCUGACUACCUAAUGUAACACUACUUUAAAUUAUUAUUCUGGUUGAUUUCUUAGCCCCAAAGAUGAAUCAUCCCUCCUCCUUUCUUAUUUCCCAAAACAUUACUAACACAGGGUUAUUUUGUGUAGUACUUUUUAAAAAAUUAGAGAUAACCUAAGAGGCCACAGCACUGCACAAAAUGGGGAUCACCUUAAAGUUCAGUGUUAGGCAGCAUUGCCCCUGGCUAUUUCCAUCAUAAGUAAACAGCCUUCUUUCUCCAGAGCCCCCUCCUGCUGGCUUGUUGCUGGCCCCUCCUCUUCUUCUUGUUUAUUGUACAACAAAACCGCACAGGCAAAGCUUAAAAUUUGCUGGUACUUUAACUUGCAGAGAAAUUUAACUGCUUCCCUCAACCUCCUGCCCAUAUCAGAAUAGAGGCCUUUGUAUGCUAGAGUUUCCAAUACCAAAUAAUGGCAACAAUAAUAAAUAGUGACAACAUUUUACAUUAUAUAUUACUUUAAGUUAUAGCAAAGCAAAUUUUGAGUAGGGCUCUCUCCCCACCAGCAAGAUUCUUGGGAUCUUAUCGUUUGUGGGGAGGAAUCUGGAAACUGUAUUAUAAUAGACACCCUUUUAUCUGAUAUUAUUGAAUUGUUAGUAGGGUAACUAUUAACAAUUAAUUGAAAAGUCAGUUAAUACAAAGAUUCAUAAAAUGAUAUGUUUUAUAUUUUAUUAAAAUGUGUAACCUGUU
ensembl:lncRNA EIF1B-AS1 EIF1B antisense RNA 1